AGAAGUUUAAGAUAAAUAAGUCCGAAGGCCUUCAAAGCCUUCAGUAAACACUCAAGUUUAACUUCUG
rnacentral:tRNA from 1 species